CCUACGGGGGGCUGCAGUGAGGAAUAUUGGUCAAUGGACGAGAGUCUGAACCAGCCAAGUAGCGUGAAGGAUGACUGCCCUAUGGGUUGUAAACUUCUUUUAUAAAGGAAUAAAACGAGGCACGUGUGCCUUUUUGCAUGUACUUUAUGAAUAAGGAUCGGCUAACUCCGUGCCAGCCGCCGCGGUAAUACGGAGGAUCCGAGCGUUAUCCGGAUUUAUUGGGUUUAAGGGGAGCGUAGAUGGGUUGUUAAGUCAGUUGUGAAAGUUUGCGGCUCAACCGUAAAAUUGCAAUUGAGACUGGCAGUCUUGAGUACAGUUGAGGUAGGCGGAAUGCGUGGUGUAGCGGUGAAAUGCUUAGAUAUCACGAAGAACCCCGAUUGCGAAGGCAGCUUACUAAACUGUGACUGACAUUGAUGCUCGAAAGUGUGGGUAUCAAACAGGAUUAGAGACCCGGGUAGUC
rnacentral:rRNA from 1 species